rnacentral:rRNA from 1 species
AUGACGGAUGCUAUAUCGAAAUACUGGUGGGGAGAUGACGACAAUCAUAAGCGGAUCCAUUGGGCAGCUUGGUGGAAGGUGUGUAUACCGAAAGAAAGGGGAGGGUUGGGAUUCAGGGACUUACACAGUUUUAACUUAGCUCUACUUGCUAAACAAGUUUGGAGGCUGCUGGAGAAUCUUGAUUCUCUGUGUGCUUAGAUAUUGAGAGCCAAGUAUUAUCCGGAUGGGAAACUACUUGAUGCCAAGGUGAAAAGUGGAAGCUCGUAUACAUGGCAGAGUAUAUGGGCUGGUAUCAAUACACUCAGAAGAGGGGCAAUAUGGCGUAUAGGUGAUGGUUCACAAGUGAACAUUUGGACAGACUCGUGGAUUCAAUCGAGUGCUGAUGGUCGUGUCAUUACACCACGAGGAGGGACAUUGCUGACAAAGGUUGCGGAGUUGAUUGAUCCGGUCACGGGGUUUGGGGAUCAACAGUUGAUAACUGAUGUCUUCUGGCCGGUUGAUGCGCAUAGAAUUCUUGCAAUUCCGCUGGCACCACAUGGGAUGAUGGAAGAUUUUGUAGCCUGGAGGUUUACAAGGAGCUUUGUAUUCUCGGUCCGGUCAGCUUAUCAUGUUGAGUGGUGA